UUGCAGGAGAAGGUUACUCCAAAGGGAAUACAAGAUGCUGAAAAGAAAAAAAAAAGGUUAAGACUGUGAAAAACAAAAAGGCAGCCAAAACACCUGAACAUGCAGAAGAUAUUAAAGUAAACAAGAAAAAAAAAGGAAAUGAAAAAAAGACAACAUCAGAGAAAAUGAAAAGUAUGCUGGAAAUGGCAAAGACAAUGCCAUUCGCAAGAGAAAAUUCAGAAGCUAAUCUAGAAGAAGAGGACAUUAUACCAUCAUCCGAGUCAAUUUCAGAGUCUAGUAAUUAGGAAGAGUCAGAGAAAGAAGAAGACAGGGCUAUAGUAACACCUCAGCAGUAUCAACAGAUAGUUGAACGUAACAGAAUGGACAGUGCCAAGUUCCUAGUUUCACUUAGAUUUCCCAAACUUACAAUGAAGAAAGGUUCAGCUAAAAG